GGCAGCUGCCCCGUGCUUCCCGCCCCGCCGCGCCCGCCCACCCAAUGGCGCUGUGUCCCGCCGGUAGCUCAGCGCGGACUUCCUUUAUGUGGUACAGGGUUGGGCCUGGAGACCCGGAGGCCGGCGAGGUCCUGGCUGGGAGAGGCCGCCGCUGCCUUCAGGUUCCCGAGACAGUGGAGACUCUGAGAACAUCCAGAAAUAUCCACAGGACUGGAGAGGCUGUGGGCUUUCAACCACCACGAGGGGCUGUUUGCAUAUGAUUCUUCUAAAAUUGACAUCAGUGAAAUGCCUUGAAGAUAAUAAAGUGUUGAAGAAAUAAACAAAAUCAGAAUAUAUGGGAUCAGUUAGAAAGCUCUUAUUUAAGUAAUACAAACCAUGUCCUCAGAUGUCACAGAGCUCAGGUAUAGUCAAAAUUGUUUCUUGGAUGAAUCUGUGGAGAAGGAGAGUUGGCUCUGCAGAGAUGGAUCAUUGUGUGUGUCACCCUUGCAAUGUGCUCCUGACAGCCCAUGGAAGCGGGCUAGUG
rnacentral:lncRNA from 1 species